rnacentral:rRNA from 1 species
UCUUCUGGGAAAGCUUUUGCGGUAUGGGAUGGGGUCGCGUCCUAUCAGCUUGAUGGCGGGGUAACGGCCCACCAUGGCUUCGACGGGUAGCCGGCCUGAGAGGGCGACCGGCCACAUUGGGACUGAGAUACGGCCCAGACUCCUACGGGAGGCAGCAGUGGGGAAUAUUGCACAAUGGGCGCAAGCCUGAUGCAGCGACGCCGCGUGCGGGAUGACGGCCUUCGGGUUGUAAACCGCUUUUGACUGGGAGCAAGCCCUUCGGGGUGAGUGUACCUUUCGAAUAAGCACCGGCUAACUACGUGCCAGCAGCCGCGGUAAUACGUAGGGUGCAAGCGUUAUCCGGAAUUAUUGGGCGUAAAGGGCUCGUAGGCGGUUCGUCGCGUCCGGUGUGAAAGUCCAUCGCUUAACGGUGGAUCCGCGCCGGGUACGGGCGGGCUUGAGUGCGGUAGGGGAGACUGGAAUUCCCGGUG